rnacentral:rRNA from 1 species
CUGACCUCAAAUCAGGUAGGAUUACCCGCUGAACUUAAGCAUAUCAAUAAGCGGAGGAAAAGA